CCUACGGGUGGCAGCAGUGGGGAAUAUUGGACAAUGGGCGAAAGCCUGAUCCAGCCAUGCCGCGUGUGUGAAGAAGGCCUUCGGGUUGUAAAGCACUUUCAGUGGGGAAGAAAGCCUUGGGGCUAAUACCCUCGAGGAAGGACAUCACCCACAGAAGAAGCACCGGCUAACUCCGUGCCAGCAGCCGCGGUAAUACGGAGGGUGCGAGCGUUAAUCGGAAUUACUGGGCGGAAAGCGCGCGUAGGCGGUCUGAUAAGCCGGUUGUGAAAGCCCCGGGCUCAACCUGGGAACGGCAUCCGGAACUGUCAGGCUAGAGUGCAGGAGAGGAAGGUAGAAUUCCCGGUGUAGCGGUGAAAUGCGUAGAGAUCGGGAGGAAUACCAGUGGCGAAGGCGGCCUUCUGGACUGACACUGACGCUGAGGUGCGAAAGCGUGGGUAGCAAACAGGAUUAGAUACCCGGGUAGUC
rnacentral:rRNA from 1 species